UUUCCUUUUUAGCUCACCUGACCUGAAAGGUCAAGUGAGCUUUUCUCAUCACUUUGCGUCCGUCGUCCUGCGUCCGUCGUCCGUCGUCCGUAAACUUUUACAAAAAUCUUCUCCUCUGAAACUACUGGGCCAAAUUUAACCAAACUUGGCCACAAUCAUCAUUGGGGUAUCUAGUUUUAAAAAUGUGUGGCGUGACCCGGUCAACCAACCAAGAUGGCCGCCACGGCUAAAAAUAGAACAUAGGGGUAAAAUGCAGUUUUUAGCUUAUAACUCAAAAACCAAAGCAUUAAGAGCAAAUCUGACAUGGGGUAAAAUUGUUCAUCAGGUCAAGAUCUAUCUGCCCUGAAAUUUUCAGAUGAAUCGGACAACCCGUUAUUGGGUUGCUGCCCCUGAAUUGGUAAUUUUAAGGAAAUUUUGCUGUUUUUGGUUAUUAUCUUGAAUAUUAUUAUAGAUAGAGAUAAACUGUAAACAGCAAUAAUGUUCAGCAAAGUAAGAUUUACAAAUAAGUCAAUAUAACCGAAAUGGUCAGUUGACCCCUUUAGGAGUAAUUGCCCUUUAUAGUCAAUUUUUAACCAUUUUUCGUAAAUCUUAGUAAUCUUUUACAAAAAUCUUCUCCUCUGAAACAACUGGGCCAAAUUAAACCAAACUUGGCCACAAUCAUCAUUGGGGUAUCUAGUUUAAAAAAUGUGUGGCGUGACCCGUUUAACCAACCAAGAUGGCCGCCACAGCUAAAAAUAAAACAUAGGGAUAAAAUGCAGUUUUUGGCUUAUAACUCAAAAACCAAAGCAUUUAGAGCAAAUCUGACAUGAAAAAAAUUGUUUAUCAGGUGAAGAUCUAUCUGCCCUGAAAUUUUCAGAUGAAUCGAACAACCUGUUGUUGGGUUGCUGCCCCUUGAAUUGGUAAUUUUAAGGAAAUUUUGCUGUUUUUGGUUAUUAUCUUGAAUAUUAUUAUAGAUAGAGAUAAACUGUAAACAGCAAUAAUGUUCAGCAAAGUAAGAUUAACAAAUAAGUCAACAUGACUGAAAUGGUCAGUUGACCCCUUUAGGAGUUAUUGCCCUUUAUAGUCAAUUUUUAACAAUUUUUCGUAAAUCUUAGUAAUCUUUUACAAAAAUCUUCUCCUCUGAAACUCCGUGGCCAAAUUAAACCAAACUUGGCCACAAUCAUCAUUUGGUUAUCUAGUUUUAAAAAUGUGUGGCGUGACCUGGUCAACCAACCAAGAUGGCCGCCACGGCUAAAAAUAGAACAUAGGGGUAAAAUUCAGUUUUUGGCUUUUAACUCAAAAACCAAAGCAUUUAAAGCAAAUCUGACAUGAAGUAAAAUUGUUUAUCAGGUCAAGAUCUAUCUGCCCUGAAAUUUUCAGAUGAAUCGGACAACCCGUUGUUGGGUUGCUGCCCCUGAAUUGGUAAUUUUAAGGUGAUUUUGCUGUUUUUGGUUAUUAUCUUGAAUAUUAUUAUAGAUAGAGAUAAACUGUAAAAAACAAUAAAUGUCGGCAAAGUAAGAUCUACAAAUAAGUCAACAUGACCGAAAUUGUCAGUUGACCCCUUUAGGAGUUAUUGCCCUUUAUAGUCAAUUUUUAACCAUUUUUUCGUAAAUCUUAGUAAUCUUUUACAAAAAUCUUCUCCUCUGAAACUACUGGGCCAAGUUAAUUAUAGAUAGAGAUAAUUGUAAGCAGGAAAAAUGUUCAGUAAAUUAAGAUGUACAAACACAUCACCAUCACCAAAACACAAUUUUGUCAUGAAUCCAUCUGCGUCCUUUGUUUAAUAUUCACAUAGACCAAGGUGAGCGACACAGGCUCUUUAGAGCCUCUAGUUCAAUUCUAAGAAAUAAACAUACUAUGUAUAGUCAGAGAGGGUACACAAUAAUAAUAAAGAUCUACAAAGCUU